ACUUUUAUGGUAGCGCCUGAACUGCUAAGAGCAGUUGACGAGGUGGAGGAUAAUCGAAAGCGUCGGCGGAUGCCUCCCAGUGCUGGCCUGUGCUGUAAGCAAUGACCGAAAACCAUAGGGCGACCUAUGACACAAGGGCAUUACAAGGCUGGAA
rnacentral:ncRNA from 2 species